GGAGAGAUGGCGGAGUGGCCGAACGCGCUUGAUUCGAAAUCAAGUGAACCUUUGCGGGUUCCGAGGGUUCAAAUCCCUCUCUCUCCGCCA
rnacentral:tRNA from 1 species